rnacentral:rRNA from 1 species
UACGUAGGCAGCGAGCGUUGUUCGGAGUUACUGGGCGUAAAGAGUGCGUAGGCGGUUUUCUAAGUUUGGUGUGAAAUCUCCCGGCUUAACUGGGAGGGUGCGCCGAAGACUGGAAGGCUUGAGUAUGGGAGAGGUAAGCGGAAUUCCUGGUGUAGCGGUGGAAUGCGUAGAUAUCAGGAGGAACACCUGCGGUGUAGACGGCUUACUGGACCAUAACUGACGCUGAGGCACGAAAGCGUGGGUAGCAAACAGG